rnacentral:rRNA from 1 species
GAUGAACGCUAGCUGCAGGCUUAACACAUGCAAGUCGAGGGGCAGCGCAGUGUAGCAAUACAUGGGCGGCGACCGGCGCACGGGUGCGUAACGCGUAUCCAACCUUCCCGCUACUCAGGGAUAGCCUUCCGAAAGGGAGAUUAAUACCUGAUGGUGUUCAAAUUCCGCAUGUUAUUUGAACUAAAGAUUCAUCGGUAACGGAUGGGGAUGCGUGACAUUAGAUAGUAGGCGGGGUAACGGCCCACCUAGUCUACGAUGUCUAGGGGUUCUGAGAGGAAGGUCCCCCACACUUGAACUGAGACACGGUCCAGACUCCUACGGGAGGCAGCAGUGAGGAAUAUUGGUCAAUGGUCGGAAGACUGAACCAGCCAAGUAGCGUGAAGGAUGAAGGUUCUAUGGAUUGUAAACUUCUUUUAUACGGGAAUAAAACCUCCCACGUGUGGGAGCUUGUAUGUACCGUAUGAAUAAGCAUCGGCUAACUCCGUGCCAGCCGCCGCGGUAACAC